GACGAACGCUGGCGGCGUGCCUAAUACAUGCAAGUCGAACGAGUGGCGGACGGGUGAGUAAUGUAUGGGGAUCUGCCCGAUAGAGGGGGAUAACUACUGGAAACGGUGGCUAAUAACGCAUACUAUAGGAUGAACCCUUAUGGUAUUAACUAGUCGGUGGGGUAAAGGCACACCUAUGCGACGAUCUCUAGCUUGGCUGAGAGGAUGAUCGGCCACUCUGGGACGUAGACACGCCCCAGCCUCCUGCGGGGGGCAGCAGUGGGGAAUAUUGCACAAUGGGCGCAAGCCUGAUGCAGCCAUGCCGCGUGUAUGAAGAGGGCCUCAGGGUUGUAAAGUACUUUCAGCGGGGAGGCGUUACCCGCAGAAGAAGCACCGGCUAACUCCGUGCCAGCAGCCGCGGUAAUUC
rnacentral:rRNA from 1 species